UACGUAGGGGGCGAGCGUUGUCCGGAUUUAUUGGGCGUACAGAGCUCGUAGGCGGCUUGGCAAGUCGGGUGUGAAACCUCCAGGCUCAACCUGGAGACGCCACUCGAUACUGCCAUGGCUAGAGUCCGGUAGGGGACCACGGAAUUCCUGGUGUAGCGGUGAAAUGCGCAGAUAUCAGGAGGAACACCGGUGGCGAAGGCGGUGGUCUGGGCCGGCACUGACGCUGAGGAGCGAAAGCGUGGGUAGCAAACAGG
rnacentral:rRNA from 1 species